rnacentral:snoRNA from 1 species
GGCGAUGACGAGCCUCACGAUAUCUGAAACUGCGCUUCGCACAGUACCGUGAUGAGGGGCAUACUGGCCGAGC